rnacentral:rRNA from 1 species
GAUGAACGCUGGCGGCGUGCCUAAUACAUGCAAGUCGAGCGAACAGACGAGGAGCUUGCUCCUCUGACGUUGGCGGCGGACGGGUGAGUAACACGUGGAUAACCUACCUAUAAGACUGGGAUAACUUGGGGAAACCGGAGCUAAUACCGGAUAAUAUAUUGAACCGCAUGGUUCAAUAGUGAAAGACGGUUUUGCUGUCACUUAUAGAUGGAUCCGCGCCGCAUUAGCUAGUUGGUAAGGUAACGGCUUACCAAGGCAACGAUGCGUAGCCGACCUGAGAGGGUGAUCGGCCACACUGGAACUGAGACACGGUCCAGACUCCUACGGGAGGCAGCAGUAGGGAAUCUUCCGCAAUGGGCGAAAGCCUGACGGAGCAACGCCGCGUGAGUGAUGAAGGUCUUCGGAUCGUAAAACUCUGUUAUUAGGGAAGAACAAAUGUGUAAGUAACUAUGCACGUCUUGACGGUACCUAAUCAGAAAGCCACGGCUAACUACGUG